rnacentral:rRNA from 1 species
UACGUAGGGUGCGAGCGUUGUUCGGAAUUACUGGGCGUAAAGCGCACGUAGGCGGCUUUGUAAGUUAGAGGUGAAAGCCCAGGGCUUAACCCUGGAAUUGCCUUUAAGACUGCACUCGCUCGAAUUCUGGAGAGGUGAGUGGAAUUCCGGAGUGUAGAGGUGAAAUUCGUAGAUAUUCGGAAGAACACCAGUGGCGAAGGCGA